AUUGAACGCUGGCGGCAUGCCUUACACAUGCAAGUCGAACGGUAACAGGUUAAGCUGACGAGUGGCGAACGGGUGAGUAAUAUAUCGGAACGUGCCCAGUCGUGGGGGAUAACGUAGCGAAAGCUACGCUAAUACCGCAUACGAUCUACGGAUGAAAGCGGGGGAUCGCAAGACCUCGCGCGAUUGGAGCGGCCGAUAUCAGAUUAGGUUGUUGGUGAGGUAAAAGUUCACCAAGCCUGCGAUCUGUAGCUGGUCUGACAGGACGACCAGCCAAAUGGGAACUGAGACACGGUCCAGACUCCUACGGGAGGCAGCAGUGGGGAAUUUUGGACAAUGGACGCAAGUCUGAUCCAGCAAUGCCGCGUGCAGGACGAAGGCCUUCGGGUUGUAAACUGCUUUUGUACGGAACGAAACGGUGAGCUCUACUACAGUUUGCAAAUGACGGUACCGUAAGAAUAAGCACCGGCUAACUACGUGCCAGCCGCCGCAGUAA
rnacentral:rRNA from 1 species